UAGUAAACAUAACCUGUAUGUCUAAUAUGGGUAAGAAAAGGAUGUGGUUUAAGUGUUAAAAGUGAAUUUAUUUCUAAAAGGAUGAAGCAUGUGAAAUUUACAUUAUUGUAAAAUAGUUGUUAACAUUAUUUAUAAUCGAUACAGUAUAAAUAUGAAACAUUGCAAUUAAAUUUGAUUAAUGAAGAGUUCUUAAUCCAUAAUCUGAUAAGUUUCCCUGAAAGAAGUUAAGUAACUAAUUGCUGCAGCCUGCAUGUGAAAUAGCAGUGCUUAAAAACUUGCUCUUAUUAAGUUUUGGAUAUUGAAUUAAAAACCUGUAACAAGCAACACCAUGGAGCCAGACUCCAGUGCUGGAGACAAAUGGGCAGAGUGUGACUCAGUAUAUAGCCAUCACCCAGUAACUCGGUCGUCUGGCCGGUUUGUGUGGUGCUGACGCCUGGGAGGAUAUGAUAAUGGACGGGAUUGUGUAUGUCAUCAAUGACUUUC